ACACAUUGGCUGCAGUGCACAUACACUAACACCUCCUUCGUCUCUUGUCCUGUAUCAUGUUCUCCCAGAACCGACUAAAUGAAAUAAGGCCUUCAUCUCGAAGUCUUGCCGCUCGCCUCGCCUGUGACGUUGGUUUGCUAUGCAGUGAUGGACCAAAAUCUGGCCGCUUUCUCCCAUACUCUAUGAGUGCGAUCUGGGUUUGAAUAUAGAAAGAAGAAGACGAUGGGAAGACAGGGAGAGGACAGAAACAAAGUAAGAACAGAGCAACAAACUAGGAAAGAGGAGGAAGAAACACUAAGCGGAAGUAUACGGCAUCGUUUUGAUCAAAGGGCACUGGCAAUCACGCUAAAAGAAGACGGGCAAAACGCAGAGAUUCAAGAGAGAAGGCUCGCACAAAGUACACGGCAAAGGGCAAUUCUGUAAAUCAAAUUGCACGAAUCAAUUGCAAACAAACUGUUCAUUAA